AUGACUCUCAACAACAGAUAUCUUGGCUCUUGCAACGAUGAAGAAUGCAAUGAAAUGCAAUAUGUAGUGUGAAUUGCAGAAUUUCGUGAAUCAUCGAGUCUUUGAACACAAGUUGCGCCCGUGGCUCGUCCAAGGGCAUGCCUUCCUGAGCAUCCCC
rnacentral:rRNA from 1 species